rnacentral:rRNA from 1 species
GGUUAAGCGACUAAGCGUACACGGUGGAUGCCCUGGCAGUCAGAGGCGAUGAAGGACGUGCUAAUCUGCGAAAAGCGCCGGCGAGGUGAUAUGAACCUUUGACCCGGCGAUGUCCGAAUGGGGAAACCCAGUGUGUUCCGACACACUAUCGUUAACUGAAUACAUAGGUUAACGAGGCGAACCGGGGGAACUGAAACAUCUAAGUACCCCGAGGAAAAGAAAUCAACCGAGAUUCCCCCAGUAGCGGCGAGCGAACGGGGAGCAGCCCAGAGUCUGAAUCAGCUUGUGUGUUAGUGGAAGCGUCUGGAAAGUCGCACGGUACAGGGUGAUAGUCCCGUACACGAAAACACACUUGCUGUGAACUCGAAGAGUAGGGCGGGACACGUGGUAUCCUGUCUGAAUAUGGGGGGACCAUCCUCCAAGGCUAAAUACUCCUGACUGACCGAUAGUGAACCAGUACCGUGAGGGAAAGGCGAAAAGAACCCCGGCGAGGGGAGUGAAAAAGAACCUGAAACCGUGUACGUACAAGCAGUGGGAGCCUACUUGUUAGGUGACUGCGUACCUUUGUAUAAUGGGUCAGCGACUUAUAUUCUGUAGCAAGGUUAACCGUAUAGGGGAGCCGAAGGGAAACCGAGUCUUAACUGGGCGUUAAGUUGCAGGGUAUAGACCCGAAACCCGGUGAUCUAGCCAUGGGCAGGUUGAAGGUUGGGUAACACUAACUGGAGGACCGAACCGACUAAUGUUGAAAAAUUAGCGGAUGACUUGUGGCUGGGGGGUGAAAGGCCAAUCAAACCGGGAGAUAGCUGGUUCUCCCCGAAAGCUAUUUAGGUAGCGCCUCGUGAACUCAUCUUCGGGGGGUAGAGCACUGUUUCGGCUAGGGGGCCAUCCCGGCUUACCAACCCGAUGCAAACUACGAAUACCGAAGAAUGUUAUCACGGGAGACACACGGCGGGUGCUAACGUCCGUCGUGAAGAGGGAAACAACCCAGACCGCCAGCUAAGGUCCCAAAGUCAUGGUUAAGUGGGAAACGAUGUGGGAAGGCACAGACAGCCAGGAUGUUGGCUUAGAAGCAGCCAUCAUUUAAAGAAAGCGUAAUAGCUCACUGGUCGAGUCGGCCUGCGCGGAAGAUGUAACGGGGCUAAACCAUGCACCGAAGCUGCGGCAGCGACGCUUAUGCGUUGUUGGGUAGGGGAGCGUUCUGUAAGCCGUUGAAGGUGGCCUGUGAGGGUUGCUGGAGGUAUCAGAAGUGCGAAUGCUGACAUAAGUAACGAUAAUGCGGGUGAAAAGCCCGCACGCCGGAAGACCAAGGGUUCCUGUCCAACGUUAAUCGGGGCAGGGUGAGUCGACCCCUAAGGCGAGGCCGAAAGGCGUAGUCGAUGGGAAACAGGUUAAUAUUCCUGUACUUGGUGUUACUGCGAAGGGGGGACGGAGAAGGCUAUGUUAGCCGGGCGACGGUUGUCCCGGUUUAAGCAUGUAGGCGGAGGUUCCAGGUAAAUCCGGUACCUUAUUAACGCUGAGGUGUGAUGACGAGGCACUACGGUGCUGAAGUAACAAAUGCCCUGCUUCCAGGAAAAGCCUCUAAGCAUCAGGUAACACGAAAUCGUACCCCCAAACCGACACAGGUGGUCAGGUAGAGAAUACCAAGGCGCUUGAGAGAACUCGGGUGAAGGAACUAGGCAAAAUGGUGCCGUAACUUCGGGAGAAGGCACGCUGAUAUGUAGGUGAAGCCCCUGCGGGUGGAGCUGAAAUCAGUCGAAGAUACCAGCUGGCUGCAACUGUUUAUUAAAAACACAGCACUGUGCAAACACGAAAGUGGACGUAUACGGUGUGACGCCUGCCCGGUGCCGGAAGGUUAAUUGAUGGGGUUAGCGGCAACGCGAAGCUCUUGAUCGAAGCCCCGGUAAACGGCGGCCGUAACUAUAACGGUCCUAAGGUAGCGAAAUUCCUUGUCGGGUAAGUUCCGACCUGCACGAAUGGCGUAAUGAUGGCCAGGCUGUCUCCACCCGAGACUCAGUGAAAUUGAACUCGCUGUGAAGAUGCAGUGUACCCGCGGCAAGACGGAAAGACCCCGUGAACCUUUACUAUAGCUUGACACUGAACACUGGUCCUUGAUGUGUAGGAUAGGUGGGAGGCUUUGAAGCGUGGACGCCAGUCUGCGUGGAGCCAACCUUGAAAUACCACCCUUUAAUGGCUGGUGUUCUAACGUAGACCCGUGAUCCGGGUUGCGGACAGUGUCUGGUGGGUAGUUUGACUGGGGCGGUCUCCUCCCAAAGAGUAACGGAGGAGCACGAAGGUUAGCUAAUCCUGGUCGGACAUCAGGAGGUUAGUGCAAUGGCAUAAGCUAGCUUGACUGCGAGAGUGACGGCUCGAGCAGGUGCGAAAGCAGGUCAUAGUGAUCCGGUGGUUCUGAAUGGAAGGGCCAUCGCUCAACGGAUAAAAGGUACUCCGGGGAUAACAGGCUGAUACCGCCCAAGAGUUCAUAUCGACGGCGGUGUUUGGCACCUCGAUGUCGGCUCAUCACAUCCUGGGGCUGAAGUAGGUCCCAAGGGUAUGGCUGUUCGCCAUUUAAAGUGGUACGCGAGCUGGGUUUAGAACGUCGUGAGACAGUUCGGUCCCUAUCUCGCCGUGGGCGCUGGAGAAUUGAGGGGGGGCUGCUCCUAGUACGAGAGGACCGGAGUGGACGCAUCACUGGUGUUCGGGUUGUCAUGCCAAUGGCAUUGCCCGGUAGCUAAAUGCGGAAGAGAUAAGUGCUGAAAGCAUCUAAGCACGAAACUUGCCCCGAGAUGAGUUCUCCCUGACUCCUUGAGAGUCCUGAAGGAACGUUGAAGACUACGACGUUGAUAGGUCGGGUGUGUAAGCGCAGCGAUGCGUUGAGCUAACCGAUACUAAUGAACCGUGAGGCUUAACCUU